UGUAAGCAGGCAAGAGAGGUUGAGAAGAAACUGAAAUGUUGAUUUUGUGGUGAGGUGCUCCCCAUGGCUCUGAAUCAUAGCAUGCUUACCUCUUCAGCUUUCUCUCACACUACACCCAGACUUUAGCCCAACAUUCCAACCACUCUGGCAGUUUCCAAAAUACAGAAGGUUCUUUCACCACCCAUUGGUACCACUGGCUGGAAUGUUCUUUCCUCUUCUUUGUUUGAGAACCUCCUGCCACCGCCAGGGUGCAACCCAAAUAUUGCAGACUCUUGAAGCUGCUAGAAAACCCUCCAAGGUAAUCAGAGAACAGAGGCAAACAGGAAAGAAGGUGUGGAGGAAAUAUCACGGUGUGGUUUUGUGUGUACAGCUGACCCCUGCUGCUUGUGGUCCGAAUUAAGAAAAGCUGCACAGUCACCCCAAAACCGGAACUUUUAAAGUCACUCUGCAAGUUCUAGUUGAACAGAUAUUUCUCAAGAAUGCCAGCUGGAAAGGAGGAUGGAAGGCUGUGAGGGACACAGAAAAAAGAUACCAAGGGUUAUAAAUAAAUAAAAAAAUCAUUUCUUUAA